CCUACGGGGGGCAGCAGUAGGGAAUCUUCCACAAUGGGCGAAAGCCUGAUGGAGCAACGCCGCGUGGGUGAAGAAGGUCUUCGGAUCGUAAAACUCUGUUGUUAGAGAAGAAAGUGCGUGAGAGUAACUGUUCACGUUUCGACGGUAUCUAACCAGAAAGCCACGGCUAACUACGUGCCAGCAGCCGCGGUAAUACGUAGGUGGCAAGCGUUAUCCGGAUUUAUUGGGCGUAAAGGGAACGCAGGCGGUCUUUUAAGUCUGAUGUGAAAGCCUUCGGCUUAACCGGAGUAGUGCAUUGGAAACUGGGAGACUUGAGUGCAGAAGAGGAGAGUGGAACUCCAUGUGUAGCGGUGAAAUGCGUAGAUAUAUGGAAGAACACCAGUGGCGAAAGCGGCUCUCUGGUCUGUAACUGACGCUGAGGUUCGAAAGCGUGGGUAGCAAACAGGAUUAGAUACCCUUGUAGUC
rnacentral:rRNA from 1 species